ACGAGUCCUUAACUGACGCUAAUGCUCGAAAGUGCGGGUAUCGAACAGGAUUAGAUACCCUGGUAGUCCGCACGGUAAACGAUGGAUGCCCGCUGUUGGCGAUAUACUGUCAGCGGCCAAGCGAAAGCGUUAAGCAUCCCACCUGGGGAGUACGCCGGCAACGGUGAAACUCAAAGGAAUUGACGGGGGCCCGCACAAGCGGAGGAACAUGUGGUUUAAUUCGAUGAUACGCGAGGAACCUUACCCGGGCUUGAACUGCAGCCGAACGAUAGAGAGAUCUUGAGGUCCUUCGGGACGGCUGUGGAGGUGCUGCAUGGUUGUCGUCAGCUCGUGCCGUGAGGUGUCGGCUUAAGUGCCAUAACGAGCGCAACCCCUUUCAUUAGUUGCCAUCAGGUUAUGCUGGGCACUCUAGUGAUACUGCCACCGUAAGGUGUGAGGAAGGUGGGGAUGACGUCAAAUCAGCACGGCCCUUACGUCCGGGGCUACACACGUGUUACAAUGGGUGGUACAGAGAGUAAACUGCCGGCAACGUCAGUUCAAUCAAUAAAGCCAUCCUCAGUUCGGAUUGGGGUCUGCAACCCGACCCCAUGAAGCUGGAUU
rnacentral:rRNA from 1 species